AGAAACCCCGGAUGGCAGUGUGCAAUUUCGGGCCGGGCCCAAUGUAGGCGGAGUCAAACGCGUUUAACCCAAACGCUUCCCGUCACCCAAAGGCACAACGUCAACGAAAGCAAACCUUAAUUGAGCCUAGCCAACAUGGAUAAAAAUAUAGAUCAUGGAAUAUGCUCUGUACAUUGCAAUGGAAGCACAGUGUGAUUUCACUGAGGAAAACAUGCAGCAAAUUAGGCGGCGGUGGUGCCUAGUUCUCCUGCAGAACUUUCCCAUGCCGUCUGAAGAAGAGAGGUUGAAAGAUCGAAAAAAGGUGGCGAAAACAAAACACACUACAGGGAGGUGUGACAUGUGAUAUAUUUCAGGAGGAUGUAGAAGACGCGGAAGACGGGGAAGACCGCAUUACAAUCCUUAAAGAACUACGGUUGUAUGAUGGCCUGGAUGAAGAGAAAUAUUCUCCUCACGGAACCAUUCAUGUUACAGAGAGAUUAUGAGAUGUUCUAUGUAGAGGCAUUUGACAACAAGAACAUUACUGUCUUUGCCUCUUUUGAGGAGCAGGAGUGAAGCCAUUUUUGAGGAGUAGUCAAACCUUGUUUUUGUCUGCUGUUUCAAUUGUUAAUUGUGUUAUGUUGUUUAGGAAAGAUGACAUAGAAGUCACUCGAGUCUCUGAUCUCUGUACUGGAGCUGGUAUAACUUAAUGUACAAAGCACCUUCAGCUAUUCAGUAUGUCUACUAUAUAGUUUAGUCUGUCUCCAUUCUCAUUGGGAAAGUAAAUAGCAUUAUAAAUCAGGGUAGGUAGUAACUGUAUGUGUGUGUGUAUGCUCAAUUAAAUAAUAUAAAGUUAACAUUUAUCAACACAAUUUUAACAGUACAUGACAUAAGUCUGUACACUGCAACAAUAUCAGUAGCUUGUCUAAAGUAUAGCAUGAAGCAAAAAGUGUUACAACACAUCUAGUACCACUUUGUAUAAUUAUUUCUUACAGUUUAAAAAAUGAAAUACGUUUGUAUUCAAUGCGUGCCUUGUGCAAACUUGCGUGUUUGUAUUCAGUGUGUGACUCAAACCUCAGCUGGACUGAAAAAGGUGGGCGGGGUCAAACGUUUGACUCCGACCACAUUGAGACCGGCCCUGAAUUGCACACUGCAGUCAGGUGUACUUGUCAGGACUUGCACUUUCCAAAGGAAGGGACAGAGAUUUGCAAAAUUUCUGUAUUUGAAAUAAGAAUUUCAAUUCUGAGUAUUUUGUCAUUUGUAGUACACUGGGCUGAACUAAACUCAAAUGUAUUUUGUAACAAGAUACUUUAGAGAGCUGUAGGAAUAUGUGAAUUUAUACUUUCAAAAUAAAUACUUUUCUAUACAAUUUAUUUUUAGUGGUUCACAACUGGCCCCCUCUCACUCUGCAUUGGUAUCAGAAUGUCUUGGCACUAUGGUGUGAUAAGAGCAUCUACUAAAUGACCUAUAAUUGUAUAUAUAAAAAUUGACAAUUGCAAAGUAUUUCAGGCCCUGUGUGUAGCUAACUGACCCUCUGCCAAUUCAUUGCCAUUUACUCGUUGUCUCACCCGUUGUCUUAGCUCUCCCAAUCAACACCUGUGAUUGCUCUAUACCUUUCUCAGUAUGCCUUGUAUACUGUUGUUUAGGGCAGCUCUCAUUGUUUUAUUUUACUGCGGAGCCCCUAGUCCUGCUCAACAUGCCUCAGAUAGCCCCCUUGUCCCACCCCCCACACAUGCGGAGCCCACACUUAGCUUAACUGGCACCUCUAGAGAUGAGAUGCAACCUCUCAUCGUCACUCAAUGCCUAGGGUUUACCCCCAUUGUACUUGCACCCUACCAUACCCUUGUCUGUACACUAUGCCCUGAAUCUAUCCUACCACGCCCAGAAAUCUGCUCCUUUUAUUCUCUGUUCCCAAAGCACUAGACGACCAGUUAUUUUUGCCUUUAGCUGUAUCCUUAUCCUACUCCUCCUCUGAUGAACCCAGGCUCUGUGUGUCCCCAGGCACUCUCAUUUGUUGACUUCUGCAACUGUAAAAGCCUUGGGUUCAUGAAUGUUAACAUCAGAAGCCUCCUCCCUAAGUUUGCUUUAUUCACUGCUUUAGCACACUCCACCAACCCUGAUGUCCAAGCUGUGUCUGAAUCCUGGCUUAGGAAGGCCCCCAAAAAUUAUGUUAUGGGUCCGCGGUCAAACGACCACCCCUCAUCACUGUCAAACGCUCCCUAAAAUACUUUAGUGAGCAGGCCUUUCUAAUCCACCUGGCCCAGGUAUCCUGGAAGGAUAUUGACCUCAUCCUGUCAGCAGAGGAUGCCUGGUUGUUAUUUAAAAGUGCUUUCCUCACCCUCUUAAAUAAGCAUGGCCCAUUCAAAAAAUGUAGAACUAAGAACCGAUAUAGCCCUUGGUUCACUCCACACUUGACCGCUCUUGACCAGCAUAAAAACACACUGUGGCGUACUGCACUAGCUUCGUAAAGUCUCCACUAUAUGCAACUUUUCAGGGAAGUCAGGAACCAAUACACACAGUUAGGAAAGCAAAGGUAAGCAUUUUCAAACAGAAAUUUGCAUCCUGCAGCACUAAUUCCAAAAAGUUUUGAGACAUUGUAAAGUCCAUGGAGAAUAAGAGCACCUCCCCUCAGCUGCCCACUACACUGAGACUAGGAAACACUGUCACCACUGAUAAAUCCACGACAAUCAAUCAUUUCAAUAGGCAUUUCUUUGCAGGUGGCCAUGCUUUCCAUCUGGCUACCCCAUCCCUGGCCAACAGCUCAGCC